ACGGUGGCACUGCGGUGGCGG
rnacentral:misc_RNA from 1 species